GGGUUGUGAGGUUAAGCGACUAAGCGUACACGGUGGAUGCCCUGGCAGUCAGAGGCGAUGAAGGACGUGCUAAUCUGCGAUAAGCGUCGGUAAGGUGAUAUGAACCGUUAUAACCGGCGAUUUCCGAAUGGGGAAACCCAGUGUGAUUCGUCACACUAUCAUUAACUGAAUCCAUAGGUUAAUGAGGCGAACCGGGGGAACUGAAACAUCUAAGUACCCCGAGGAAAAGAAAUCAACCGAGAUUCCCCCAGUAGCGGCGAGCGAACGGGGAGCAGCCCAGAGCCUGAAUCAGUGUGUGUGUUAGUGGAAGCGUCUGGAAAGGCGUGCGAUACAGGGUGACAGCCCCGUACACAAAAAUGCACAUGCUGUGAGCUCGAUGAGUAGGGCGGGACACGUGGUAUCCUGUCUGAAUAUGGGGGGACCAUCCUCCAAGGCUAAAUACUCCUGACUGACCGAUAGUGAACCAGUACCGUGAGGGAAAGGCGAAAAGAACCCCGGCGAGGGGAGUGAAAAAGAACCUGAAACCGUGUACGUACAAGCAGUGGGAGCACAGAGCAAUCUGUGUGACUGCGUACCUUUUGUAUAAUGGGUCAGCGACUUAUAUUCUGUAGCAAGGUUAACCGAAUAGGGGAGCCGAAGGGAAACCGAGUCUUAACUGGGCGUUAAGUUGCAGGGUAUAGACCCGAAACCCGGUGAUCUAGCCAUGGGCAGGUUGAAGGUUGGGUAACACUAACUGGAGGACCGAACCGACUAAUGUUGAAAAAUUAGCGGAUGACUUGUGGCUGGGGGUGAAAGGCCAAUCAAACCGGGAGAUAGCUGGUUCUCCCCGAAAGCUAUUUAGGUAGCGCCUCGUGAAUUCAUCUCCGGGGGUAGAGCACUGUUUCGGCAAGGGGGUCAUCCCGACUUACCAACCCGAUGCAAACUGCGAAUACCGGAGAAUGUUAUCACGGGAGACACACGGCGGGUGCUAACGUCCGUCGUGAAGAGGGAAACAACCCAGACCGCCAGCUAAGGUCCCAAAGUCAUGGUUAAGUGGGAAACGAUGUGGGAAGGCCCAGACAGCCAGGAUGUUGGCUUAGAAGCAGCCAUCAUUUAAAGAAAGCGUAAUAGCUCACUGGUCGAGUCGGCCUGCGCGGAAGAUGUAACGGGGCUAAACCAUGCACCGAAGCUGCGGCAGCGACGCUGUGCGUUGUUGGGUAGGGGAGCGUUCUGUAAGCCUGCGAAGGUGUGCUGUGAGGCAUGCUGGAGGUAUCAGAAGUGCGAAUGCUGACAUAAGUAACGAUAAAGCGGGUGAAAAGCCCGCUCGCCGGAAGACCAAGGGUUCCUGUCCAACGUUAAUCGGGGCAGGGUGAGUCGACCCCUAAGGCGAGGCCGAAAGGCGUAGUCGAUGGGAAACAGGUUAAUAUUCCUGUACUUGGUGUUACUGCGAAGGGGGGACGGAGAAGGCUAUGUUGGCCGGGCGACGGUUGUCCCGGUUUAAGCGUGUAGGCUGGUUUUCCAGGCAAAUCCGGAAAAUCAAGGCUGAGGCGUGAUGACGAGGCACUACGGUGCUGAAGCAACAAAUGCCCUGCUUCCAGGAAAAGCCUCUAAGCAUCAGGUAACAUCAAAUCGUACCCCAAACCGACACAGGUGGUCAGGUAGAGAAUACCAAGGCGCUUGAGAGAACUCGGGUGAAGGAACUAGGCAAAAUGGUGCCGUAACUUCGGGAGAAGGCACGCUGAUAUGUAGGUGAAGCGACUUGCUCGUGGAGCUGAAAUCAGUCGAAGAUACCAGCUGGCUGCAACUGUUUAUUAAAAACACAGCACUGUGCAAACACGAAAGUGGACGUAUACGGUGUGACGCCUGCCCGGUGCCGGAAGGUUAAUUGAUGGGGUCAGCGCAAGCGAAGCUCUUGAUCGAAGCCCCGGUAAACGGCGGCCGUAACUAUAACGGUCCUAAGGUAGCGAAAUUCCUUGUCGGGUAAGUUCCGACCUGCACGAAUGGCGUAAUGAUGGCCAGGCUGUCUCCACCCGAGACUCAGUGAAAUUGAACUCGCUGUGAAGAUGCAGUGUACCCGCGGCAAGACGGAAAGACCCCGUGAACCUUUACUAUAGCUUGACACUGAACAUUGAGCCUUGAUGUGUAGGAUAGGUGGGAGGCUUUGAAGUGUGGACGCCAGUCUGCAUGGAGCCGACCUUGAAAUACCACCCUUUAAUGUUUGAUGUUCUAACGUUGACCCGUGAUCCGGGUUGCGGACAGUGUCUGGUGGGUAGUUUGACUGGGGCGGUCUCCUCCUAAAGAGUAACGGAGGAGCACGAAGGUUGGCUAAUCCUGGUCGGACAUCAGGAGGUUAGUGCAAUGGCAUAAGCCAGCUUGACUGCGAGCGUGACGGCGCGAGCAGGUGCGAAAGCAGGUCAUAGUGAUCCGGUGGUUCUGAAUGGAAGGGCCAUCGCUCAACGGAUAAAAGGUACUCCGGGGAUAACAGGCUGAUACCGCCCAAGAGUUCAUAUCGACGGCGGUGUUUGGCACCUCGAUGUCGGCUCAUCACAUCCUGGGGCUGAAGUAGGUCCCAAGGGUAUGGCUGUUCGCCAUUUAAAGUGGUACGCGAGCUGGGUUUAGAACGUCGUGAGACAGUUCGGUCCCUAUCUGCCGUGGGCGCUGGAGAACUGAGGGGGGCUGCUCCUAGUACGAGAGGACCGGAGUGGACGCAUCACUGGUGUUCGGGUUGUCAUGCCAAUGGCACUGCCCGGUAGCUAAAUGCGGAAGAGAUAAGUGCUGAAAGCAUCUAAGCACGAAACUUGCCCCGAGAUGAGUUCUCCCUGACUCCUUGAGAGUCCUGAAGGAACGUUGAAGACGACGACGUUGAUAGGCCGGGUGUGUAAGCGCAGCGAUGCGUUGAGCUAACCGGUACUAAUGAACCGUGAGGCUUAACCUUACAACGCCGAAGGUGUUU
rnacentral:rRNA from 1 species